GGAGUUCCCAGGGCGCACGUAUGUGCCCUAGAAGUUGUCGGCGAAAGCUUUGACCAGGUCAUCCUAGUUGGAGAUCUACGCAGGAGGCAGAUGCUCCAGCCAGGCUCGGGCGGCGUCGGAGAGGAACAAAGGAAGGUUGCGGAUGAUGAGGUUGUCAUCGUCCGUCCCACCUAGCUGGCAGGCUAGCCGGUAGUCCGCGAGCCACAGUUCCGGCUUCGACUCCCCCGAGUACUUGGUGAUAGUAGUCGAGGUUCGGAACCGGGUCGGGAACGGCGCCCGUCGUAUGGCCCGGCUGAAAGCUUGCGGACCGGGUGGUUCGGGCGAGGGGCUCCGAUCCUCCCCGCUGUCGUAGCGUCCCCCACGCCUGGGGUGGUAGCCUCGGCGCACCUUCUCGUCGAGGUGGGCUCGACGGUCGCGGCGGUGGUGCUCGUUGCCGAGGCGACCCGGGGGCGCAGGCGCUGUGUUCCACGUUCGCCCGGUGUGGACCGAGGCUUCCCGCAUGAAUCGGGAAGUCGCGGCGCGAUGCUCCAGAGGGUACCCCUGCCUUCGGGAGGCAGAGCUCUUGGCCCGUCGGACCGCGGCAUCCUCCAGGAGAUUCUUGAGCUCUCCCUGGAUUCGCCGCCCCUCGGUGGUGGAUGGUUCCGGCAUCGCUCGAAGUAGUAUCGCUGCUGCAGCCAGGUUCUGGCCGACCCCACUGGAAGCUGGGGGCAGCCUUGCCCUGGCAUCGUCGGCAAUGCGGUGCUGGACGUCCUAGGCCAGAUGACGCGCUUCUCCGGCCGGUGCUCGGCCUGCCCACUCCUGCCCGAUGUUUUGCCGAAGCUGCACAAGUUGUCCUGCUUCCUCGUCGAGCCUGGCCUGCAUCUCGCGGAUUUGCUCGAGCUGUGCGUCCUGACCCCCCGCAGGGACUGGGACCACAGCUAGCUCCCGAAGGAUGUCAACGCGAGGCGUAGGCCUAGGGGGAUCACCGUCCUCCGGCAUACCAAGAUGGUUGCCUUCGUCGAGACCCCCUAGAUCGACGUGGAAGCAUUCGUGACUUGGGCCACAGCUCUCGUCGCCGAGGCUGUGGCUACUAUCGGGGCAAUCGGAGAGGCAGUAGUCACAUGCGGUCAUGAAGUCCCGCAUGGCACUGGGGUUAUCGAGCCCGGAGAAAUUCCAACCAGAGUCGGGCUCGUCAUCUUCCUCGGAACCCAGGGGCCCGUAGGUCGAGACGGCCGUCGGUUUGUCCCAGGUUGACCGCAUAUGAUACCCCGGAGGGUUUGGAUGUGCCUUUUGAAAGCGUCCACUGAAGCGUGAACGCUUGGUGGGUUGCAGCUGAAUCUAAAAGGCAUGGAAUGGGAAACGAACCGUACCUCUUGAUCGACGGGUGGUGACGAAGUCGCGUCAGGGACGGACUGCACCGUUGUCUGAGGUACGAUGCUAACGCCCAGCAAGUCCUUCGCGAGCAUGCUGGCAUCGUCCGUCAGCUUGGGGUUGGCGUGUUGCGGGGAGACGACGCUCGUCUUCGUCUCAGACGCGAGGUCAACACCCGACGUGUCCCCCGCUGGGGCACCGGCGCCGUCGACUCGCUCGACAGCCGACGAGGUGCCGCCUUCUGCUUGGCCAUGCCUGCCCCGCCUCCUCCUCUGUCGGCGGGGAAGGUGACGGGACAGACCCGGAUGUUGCUCUUCCGCCACGUGGGGAAGACAUCGUCGAUUCCGCUACCGGCGGGCGGGCUGACGGCCGCCAUUGUCGUUGUCGCGCAGCGGAGGAAGGAGUGUCAUGUCGUAGCUGUCGUCGAGGGACAUGAACUCAAGACUCCCGAAACAGAGCACCGUCUCGGGCUGGAGUGGUUGCUGGAGACUACCCAUCUGGAGCUUGACGGGAAGCUGUUCGUCAACACGCAGCAGGCCCCUACCUGGCGCGCCAACUGUCGGCAUUUCGACCCCGGGGGGGUCCCUGGACCGACGAGUAAAUUGUCGCUGCGUGUCCCAGCCCAGAUGGGUCGCGCGAGACGGAGCACAAAGGGGGGAAAGACAGUAAGGGGAAACCGCGGCCUUCGUGUUGUCCUACGCCCAGGGCGGAUGCGCUUGCAGUAGGGGGUUACAAGCGUUUGCGUGGGAGAGAGAGAGAGCCUUGUGCGUCGGCCCGUUCUCCCGCGCGGCCAACCUUUUCGUAUGAGAGCCCUGGACCUUCCUUUUAUAGACGUAAGGAGAGGGCCCAGGUGUACAAUGGGGGGUGUAGCAGUGUGCUAACGUGUCUAGCAGAGAGGAGCCAGAGCCCUAAGUACAUGUCGUCGUGGCUGUCGGAGAGGUUUUGGCACCCUAUUUAUGUGAUGUCGUGGCCGUCGGAGGAGUGCUUGAGCCCUGUGGAAGUACAGCUGUCAGAGCUGUCGGAUCCUUGCUGACGUCUCCUUGCUUCCGUAAGGGGCUGAGAGCCGCCGUCGUCAUGGAGCACGCGGGGUGCCAUCAUUACUUGUUUACCGGGGCGAGCCAGAUGGGACGCCAGUCUUGUUCCCCGUAGCCUGAGCUAGCUGGGAGUAGGGUAAUGAUGGCUCCCCCUGCGACGUGGUCGGUCCGUGCCCGAGGUCGGGCGAGGCGGAGGCUCCUCCGAGGUCGAGGUUGAGCCCGAGCCCUGGGGUCGGGCGAGGCGGAGACCGUCGUCCGAGGUCGAGGUAGAGUCCGAGCCCUAGGGUCGGGCGAGGCGGAGACCGUCGUCCGAGGUAGAGUCCGAGCCCUGGGGUCGGGCGAGGCGGAGACCGUCGUCCGAGGUCGAGGUAGAGUCCGAGCCCUGGGGUCGGGCGAGGUGGAGACCGUCGUCCGAGCUCGAGGUUGAGUCCGAGCCCAAGGGUCGGGCGAGGCGGAGCUUCCGAUGGCGCCUGAGGCCGGUCUUGGCCGCUGUCAGCCUCACCCUGACGGGUGGCACAACAGUCGGAGCAGCACAGGCGGCGCUGUUUUCCUAUCAGGUCGGUCAGUGGAGCGGCGAAGUGACUGCGGUCACUUCGGCUCUGUCGACUGAAGAGCGCGCGUCAGGAUAAGGUGUCAGGCGAUCCUUGCAUUAAAUGCUCCUGCGAUACGGUCGGUUGGCGUGGCGAUCUGGCCAAGGUUGCUUCUCCAUGAAGCCUGGGCCUCGGGGACCAUAAUUAGGGGACCCUCGGGCGAGACGUGAAUCCUCCUGGGUCGGCUGUCUUUGCCCGAGGCUAGGCUCGGGCGAGGUGAGAUUGUGUCCCUUGAGCGGACGGAGCCUUGACCUGAAUCGCGCCCAUCAGGCCUUUGCAGCUUUGUGCUGAUGGGGGUUACCAGCUGAGAUUAGGAGCCUUGGGGGUACCCCUAAUUAUGGUCCCCAACAAUUUGCUGCGCGUAGGUGGUGGAACUGAGGUCACAAAUAGUGAUGGCGACAUCCGUCUUCCUGACGAGGUAUGCUUACCUUAUAGUGAGAGUGACAAUGAUCUUGACAAUCUAAUAGACUUCGUUUUCCCAAAUCUCAACGAAAAAAUGUCAGAUUCCACCUACAUUACUUCAAGGGCGAUACUGUCAACGCGGAAUGACUGGGUGGAUAUGAUAAAUGCUAAGAUGAUCAAUCGUUUUCAAGGGGAGCAUAUGGUGUACCAUAGUUUCGAUAGUGCCAUGGAUGAUCCCCAUAACUACUACCCACCUGAGUUCCUAAACACACUGACGCCUAAUGGGCUGCCCCCACAUGUUUUGAAGCUCAAGAUUGGAUGCCCUGUUAUAUUGCUUCGAAAUAUAGACCCUGCGAAUGGACUUUGCAAUGGCACCAGGCUGGUGGUUCGUGGUUUCCAAAGAAAUAGCAUUGACGUAGAAAUUGUACUAGGUCAGUAUGCUGGAAAACGGAUUUUCCUGCCCCGUAUACCUCUGUGUCCCUCCGAUGACGAGAUGUUCCCUUUCCAGUUCAAAAGAAAGCAGUUUCCUAUACGGCUUAGUUUUGCAAUGACGGUUAACAAAGCACAGGGUCAGACUAUUCCCAAUGUUGGCGUGUACUUGCCCGAACCAGUGUUCUCUCAUGGCCAACUAUAUGUUGCUCUAUCUAGAGCGACAGCCCGAUCGAACAUAAAGAUUCUUGCCAUCCCAGCCGUCGAUGGGAAGAAGAGGUCGAGGAAGGGUGUAAGAAAGAACCCCACAGUAGAUUGUGGGACAUAUACCAAGAACAUCGUCUACAAGGAGGUUCUAACAAACUAGACCCACGGUAAGUCUGUCAAAACUGAAUUGUUUGUUAACCACAUAGAAUCUCAUGGAGUAAAUUUCUGUAAGCAUGAUCGUUCAUUGUUUAGUAUUUAUUAACAACUAUAUUCUAUGCUUUAUAUUCUUACAACAGAAGAUUAUCUGUGUUCAGCCAAAUGGACAUAAUUAGUGUUGUUUUGCAAAAGCAUUUUGGAUUUUCCAGUCUCAAAGCAUUCCAAAAGGAAGUCUUGGAUGCUUGGUUUGCUCACGGGGAUUGUGUUCUCCUAGCAGCCAUAGGAUCAGGAGGUACCAAAGGAAAUGAGCAAAACAUAGCAUACAGUCUCAGAUGCUGCAGGAUCACAUGAAAAUUAUUGAAGACGACGGUCCAGGUGCAGCCUUCUAUGCCAGUGCUAAGGCCAUGACUAAUGGAAAUCACACUUUCUAUGUGAGCUGUUGGGGACCUUCGGCUU